rnacentral:lncRNA from 1 species
AUGAAACUGAGUAUCUCCUUCUCCACCACUGGCUGUCAGAAACUCAUAGAAAUGGGUGAUGGAUGCAAGCUUCAUGCUCUCUCUGAGAGGCACAUAGUCACAGAAGCAGCUACUGCCACUGGGUGAGGAGCACCGGGGUUAUCUCUUCUGAAGCAGCGGUGAGAAUGACAAGCAAGGUUUUCCCAUGGAGUGAGGUGUCCUGACCCAUGACAGAGUGUGCCUGCUGUUGAGUAAGGGGCAGUCUCAUUAUAGACCAAGGAUAACUGGAUAGAGGAAAUGCAAGUCUGUUCAAGGAUGCAUUGGGGAUGCCAUCUGUGUGUUCUCAAACUUACAUUUUCACUUAUUGUUAAAAGGAGGGGGAGGAUAUUCCUGGACUGACAGAUAUCACUGUGCCUCGUGGUUGGUGUAUAAAAGAGCUAGGAGAACCUGAAGGUUUUUAAUCUCUCUAAGGAAGAUGGUGUACACCAAUAUGCUGUCUGAAAGCCCUCAAACAAAGAAAGUAAGAAGCCCAGGACCACAGCACCCAAGAUUUAACAUUAUUUCACAUGUCCUUGACUUGGCACUGAUUGCUCUAAAGAAACAAUUCUCUAAGUCAAGCAAGGAGGACACUGCAGGAUGUGCUAAACGUACAGUGAAGGGAACCAAGACUCCAAGGGAAAACGCCACAGAUUGCCAAGAGGUGAAGGCUGUCGCCACCGAGCCCUCUACCUCUGAGUCCAGUCAAGGUAAG